GCUAACGUUUUGACACGGUGUACGUACAUGUACAUGUAGGCCUAUGUAGACCUAUGGUACAUGUACUUUUCCUUGUCGGUGCAAAGGUCCGUCGUAUGGAAUUCCAUAUCUGCCGUCGUCCGUCGCCUUUUGCUUUGUGUUGUGCCCCAAUGAGCCGUAUUGCUGGGGGCGCAGUUGAAAACCAAAGUUUUCACUUCCGGGGGUUAUGUUGUCAAAGAUACAUGUACAUGUAGGAAAGUUUUUGUGCGACCUCGACUACACACAGCUGGCUAGCCGUGGCACUAUCCCCAGGGGGAACUGGCCUCGUUCGCUAAAACCUGGAUGACUCCAUUUGUAGUAUUUUGUGCAUGAAGCUUUGUACGUGCAGAAUGGUGUCAAAGUGUAACACAAUCGUGGCAUCAUCUUUAACGGAGGAUGAUAUUCCAGGUGCAAAGCUUGAAACAGACCCUUUGUCAGCAACAGUGUUGCAGCUAAAGAGAUGGUUGGCAUGCAGAAGAGGCGCUUCAACUUCCGGAGUUAAAUCAGAACUUGUGCAGAGAGUCAGUGAUUAUAUCAGUGGAGGUCUGUCAGAGACGCUGUUGAUUGAUCCAGAAAACACCCAGCAUGCUGUGGACAGGGAGAGAGGGAAGACAGUUUCUGCUGUUACAUGUACCCCUACAGGCUUCCAUCAACCUCCUAAAGAAGGCUGGACUCGCGACUUAUCCCAAUUGCGCUUGCACUUUCCAAAAUUAGGAAACCCCAAUUCAGCAUUUGAAUAAUCAUGUAAACUAAUUCAGAUCUUUAGAACAUGAUUACAAAUGUAGCAGAGAUCAAAUGUGAAUUUGUGUAACAUACAUAUAUUGCUAAUUCCUCAUUCCUUUGGAUGAAACAAAAUCAUGGAAAAAAAAUAAUAGGUUUGGCAAAAAUUUGUUUGAGUGAACUAUUAAUUAACUAAACAAAUGAAGCAAUGCUAGGUAAUUCACUUUGCUUGGAUUGCAGGUUGCAGGUGCUGUGUCUUUUGGAGCAAUGUGGCUUUUUCUUGUGAACUAGCCACAUUUGAAAGAGAAGGCAAAAGGAUGUGACCAGCAGUUUGGAAAGGGGUAUAGGCUUUAUUGUUCUGGGCAUGUUAAAGAUAUUAUGUAUCACCCUAUGUUUGCAGUAUCACCAUUUAUCCAUCUAAAAGCAACUGUUCUUCCAACAAUGAAAAAAUAAAAAAACAUACACAAGUUAUGUAUCAGUGUGGCAAUCAUCUCACCAUAUACACUCAACAUAUUGUACAUGCCCUGCAGGAUCAUUUCACCAUUUACACUCAACGUAUUGUACGUGCCCUGCAGGAUUGGGUGGCAUUUGCUGCCAUGUGGCAGUAUUUUUGUAUGUACAGUGUAUGCUCAGAUACCAGAACUUCAGGUCGUACUGACCUCUAUGUUUCAGAACCCUCUAUAUCACGUACAUCCUGUCCUCAACAGUGGCACUUGCCCUGUAGAAAACAAAAAGUUGAUAAUUUCACAAUCAGUGAUGCAGUGUUUGAGAAAUACAACCCCACCAAGCCAAAGAAGAGAAAACCAAAUAUCAGGCAAUCUGACCCCAGACCAUAUCACUUUCAGAGAAACAAUCGCAAAAAAGUAUACCAAUUAUGCAGUAAGCUUGAAGAGUUGAAAUCAAAAGGCAAAUCCAGUGCAUGUCUCCAUGUCUUGCCAUUUGCUCCAUCUUUAUCUGCCAUUUCAUUUGAUCACGACUACAUGUGUACUGCAUCUGAAUCAACUAGAAAUCCAAUUCAAUCCCAAAGAAAAUCAGUAGCUCCUAAUUCAACUGGUGCAGGAAGUGCUCAACAAUCAACAGAUUCAUUCAAAGCAUAAUUAUUGGAAGCAACAA